GGCAAAUAUUUGAUGGAUCAAUCCAAGAGUGACCAGCUGCUUCUCACAAUCAGCAGACAAUUACUUGAAGGACGAAGACAAUAUGAUAUGUCCUCAGUACAAAGCCAAGUGUGAUCAGUUCCUUCUAACAAACAGCAGGGUAAAGCACCGUCGAAGACUGGGAAGACGCCUCCCGUUCCUUUUAGAACGGUCCCGUGUUCCUCGGAGGUGAGUUCCCCCUUCUGGUUGACUGAUAGACUCUCCUGGGAUCUCGAUCUGAAUCAGGCGACAGGGAGCCAGGCAACUCUGUGCACAGACCAAGAAAACAGAGUUCGCUGGCACAGACUCAACCCUCUGAAUUUGCCGUCCAUCCCAUCCAACCGGGGGAUUGGGUCCUAGUCAAAUCAUGGACUGAGAACAAAUCGCAACCAGACUGGGAGGGGCCAUACCAAGCACUCUUGACCACUGGAACAGCAGAGAAAGGCUGGACUCACUACAAUCGGAUCAAAGGGCCAGUGGAAUCUCCAGUUGAGACAGAAAUCUGGACAACUGAAUCGACAAAAGAGCCACUUAAACUUAAGUUGAAAAGACUUUAAAUAACUGAUUAUACAGAGCUGCGCGAGCAUGGGAUAGUUUCUGUAGUGUUGUAUGCUAAGUCUCUCGCUGCUUUAAUACCACUGUAAAAUGGGAAGAAUGUUUAGGUGCACUAUAUUAGCUUUACUAGUCUUAGGAUUCUGUCAGGCCAUGGUGUUGUCAUCUUACUUAGUGAUAACAGUUCCACAAAGUACUGUUUGGAAGUACUCUUCCAGCCAGCUCUUGACUGUCCCGAUAAAAAGUGUAACCCAAUAUAUUUAACAAGAAAGAAAACCUCAUGGUAUGAAGCAGUUUUAGAAGUGAAAUCUAUCAGGUCCAAUUAGACCAAAUAUUUGGGAUAGAGAUGAAAGCAGACGGGAAGAAUUUCCUGGGAUGUUGUUUUAAACUACAGGUGAAAGAUAGAACCCUAAUAGGAGAAAGGAAUAGUGAAGUCCCUUACUCUGACCCUAAGGUGAUGAAAAUUGUAGAGGUAACGGACUUAAAGCAGACCACUGAAGUAGAAACAGGAUAUGGGGAUACAAAUGCCUGGGUUGAAUGGGUAAAGUACACUGUGAAAAGUUUGAAUAAAAGCAACUGUUAUGCAUGUGCCGCUGGGAGACCAAUGGCCCAAAUAGUCCCCUUUCCUUUUGGAAGCGAAACAGGAGGGGCAUGACAUGCAUGAUAGCCCUGUUUCAGGAUGAGACUGCAUGGAGUAAUAAAGAUUGUAUGCCCCUUCUAUUAAUGUUCCCUCUCUUAAAGAAGGAAGGUUUAAAGACGACACCCCAUUUUUUCCGCUGUUGUCAGAAAUCACAGUGUGUAAACAGCUGAGGAACAGAUCGGUUCAGAUAUUUGGGGGAGCUGAAAUCAUGUACUGAGAUUGAGUACGUGAUGGAAAAGGGAGGGAACUACUCAGCAUUAAGGAUUCCCGAGCGGAUCUGUGGUGAUACUGCAGAGGGAAAAUAUUGAGACCCACCCUAUCUCCAGAUUGGAAGGGCAUGUGUGCAAUUGUACAAUUGGCAAUUCUGUUCAUCCUAGCAUUUGAAAAGAAAGAGAUAGUAAAGAAAGGGGGAUGAAGCAAGAGGUCACUACUGGGUACUUUCUUUGAUGAUCAGGUAUAUCUAGACUCUAUAGGAGUAUCAAGAGGGUUACCUGAUGAAUUUAAGGCUCAUAACCAGAUCACAGCAGGCAUUGAAUCAGCUCGCUUUUGAUGGGUAGCAGUUAAGAAAAAUGUGGAUUGGAUAAAUUAUAUUUUCUAUAAUAAGCAAAGGUUUAUCAGUCACACUAGAGACGCAAUUAAAGGAAUAGAUGAACAACUUGAUGCAACCAACCGAUUGGCAUGGGAGAAUAGAAUGGCCCUUGAUACGAUCCUAGCAGAAAAAGAGGGAGUGUGUGAGAUGUUCGGAGGGAGCCGUUGUAUCUUUAUUCCAAAUAACACCGCCCCAGAUGGGUCUAUCACUUGAGCCCUGCAAGGUCCAACAACACUAGUGAAAGAAUUAUCUGAAAAUUCAGGAGUGAGCACAUCAUUCACCGGGUGGCUAGAAUUAUGGUUUGGGAAGUGGAAGGGUGUGGUGGUUUCAAUCCUUACCUCCUUGAUCGUAGUGGUGGGAGUACUAAUCGCAAUAGGAUGCUGUAUCAUGCCUUGCGCACAGGGGGUUAAUCCAAAGGUUGACUGAAACAGCUUUGGCCACACAAAUGUCUCUAAAGAACAAUCAGGUGAGGGAAGGGUUCUACUUGUUAAACAAUGAGGGAAUGAAUGACCUCGGGAAGAUUCCAAAAAAAAAGAAGAAAUUUCGGAAAAGAUGCUGGUCAAUUUGGAAGCGACAUAUAUUUAAAAAAAUGCAGAAGAUAACAAAUGAUAAUUAAAGAAAAAAGGGGGAAAUUGUGGGAUAUAGGUAAAACAGUGUUACUUCUGCAAGUAUAAUUGAGUACUAAAUUUAGUGCUGAAAAUGUGUUGCUGGAAAAGCGCAGCAGGUCAGGCAGCAUCCAAGGAAUAGGAGAUUCGACGUUUUGGGCAUAAGCCCUUCUUCAGGUCUGAUCUGAUCUCCAGCAUCUGCAGUCCUCACUUUCUCCUAACUUUAGUGUAUAAUUAUUUUCUAGCAAAUAAUUUCUUUCAUCAUGAUAGUUUAAAUAAUUUUACAGUCUCAGCAAGAUAGCUGAAACACAUAAACUAGGCAAGAAGAGAUACAUUGUUGAAAUGUACCUAUGAACAAUGGAUGAUGUUACAAGCAAACAGAUAAAGUGAAAAGAACAUAAAGAUCCAAGUUUAGCAAAUCCCUUAUGUCAGCACUUAAAGAGGGGAGGGUCGCCAAUUUGGAGGGGGGUGGGGGAAGUAAUAAAGAGCAGGCUGGGUACUGAUAGAACACAAUAAGGGAGAUUGAUAGGUAUGAAGGCCUAUGAAGCAAACAGGGAGUACCAAAAAUUAAGACUGUAUAAACUGCCAAGCAAUCCCUGAAUGUGUGUGCCCACUAGUCACACCUUCUUGUAAGAAGGUUUCAAUAAAAUUCGCUGCUUCA